AGGGAAAGAGGCUGACCGCCCGCAGACAGAGUAAUAGACAUGGACGCAGAGUAGUGAAAGUGACCGGGAAGGCAGCGAGCCAGAUGGUCACAAAGACGGCAGGAACGUGAGACCAGUGAGGGGAAGAGAUUGGUACCAAACAAGAAGAUAGAAAGAAAAGGAAAAGAGUGUCACAGUGAAAGUUAAAUACAAUUAAGGCUAAAAAGGAGAUAAAUUUGGGCUUCCCUGGUGGUGCAGUGUUAAGAAUCCACCUGCCAAUGCAGGGGACAUGGGUUCGAGCCCUGGUCCGGGAAGAUCCCACAUGCCGCGGAGCAACUAAGCCCGUGCGCCACAACUACUGAGCCUGCGCUCUAGAGCCCACAAGGCACAACUACUGAAGCCCGUGCGCCUAGAGCACAUGCUCUGCAACAAAAGAAGCCACCGCAAUGAGAAGCCCGUGCAC